AACGUAGGUUCCGAGCGUUAUCCGGAUUUACUGGGCGUAAAGCGCGUUCAGGCGGUUUGGCAAGUCGGGCAUGAAAUCUCUCGGCUCAACCGGGAGAGGUUGUCCGAUACUGCUGGACUUGAGGGCAGUAGAGGGUGGUGGAAUUCCGGGUGUAGUGGUGAAAUGCGUAGAUAUCCGGAGGAACACCGGUGGCGAAGGCGGCUUCCUGGACCGAUUACUGACGCUGAGGCGCGAAAGCUAGGGGAGCAAACGGG
rnacentral:rRNA from 1 species